UCUGAAGGAAGAAAAGCAGAAUUGCUAUUAUUGACUCCAGACAAGCAAGAGACGCACAAAUUGGAUUCAAAUUGUGAUACAGUCCUGUGUAUGAGUUUUCUCUAACUUAGUCCCAUGUACACCUCCAACCUCAUAUAUCAAUCAGUAGAAGGCAUAGACACUUCUUCCAAGAUGAACCCAGAACCAUCUGCGAAGGAGGCACCACCCAUGAUAGGCUUGGUUCUCUUCUAUCAAUCACUAUGAAAAUGUCCUACAUCUUGACCUUGUGGAAGUAUUCUCUCAGUUGAAGUUCCUACCUUUCAAGUAGCUCUAGCUUGUGUCAAGUUGACAAAAUGAAUCAACACAGCUAGGCUUUUCUUCCAGCAUGUUUGGGACGACAGAGAGAAAGAGCUGGCAAGCACUGCCUUGCUGGGUUUGAGAUUCUAAAGAGGCUGAGAAAAGAGUAAAGCAGGAGUCAUGGAUCUUACCAGCGGUUUAACAGGUGAUAAAGCUGUUGUCCUGGAUUCUAUGUCGUGGAAAAAGUAGGUUCUGGGAUCAUGGGGUCUUUAUAAUAAUUGGUUAAUACUUAUCAGCCUCCAGCUAUUGAUGGUCACCAUUUAUAAAAGAUAUUUUGAGCCUAUGAACAGAGGAGAAACAAAGUGUUAUUUCAGUAGAGAUGAGACUCUGCAGUGGUGUAACAGCCCUGCCUAGGCUGCCCAACCAUCAUAGUCUGAGAACAUCUAUUUCACGAGGACUCUGCUAUGUGCACGGUUCCCUUGGCCUGGGAUGCAUUUUCCAAAAUGUGGCUGCAUCUCCUGUGUGUCUCUGUUCCUCUAUCAAUGCCUGCAGUAACUCAUACCUGAAGAAGCCCCUGGCAAGGCAGAGUUGUGGUUUCUGAACUGGAUGCCACUACAGACCUUUGGGAAUUGCUGCCUCAAAGUGCAAAGAGUUCUUGGACAAUUGCUCUUCUCUGUCCAGCAGGUUUCCUCUCCCUUGUAAAAGGUGUUACUGAAUGUGGAAUGGUCAGGUUUCUCAUCUCUCAGCCUCACCUCCCAUACCUUUCUCCCAAUACCACUCAUAUACGUUUGACACCAGUAACCCUGCUCCCCAGCUUACAGUUCAUAGGGACCUGCAUGACCUGACCUAUGCAUUUACCUUCCGUUCUCAUGUCCCCAGUCCUGCCUAGUUUUAUGUUGAGCUGAUACAAUUUAAAGUCAUCUGGGAGGAGGGAGGAUCAUUUGAGAAUUUGCACACACAAGACUAGAUUACAGGCAAGCGUGUAGGGCAUUUUCUUCAUUAGUGACUGAUGGAGGAGAGCCCAUUCCAUUGUGGGUGGUGCCAUCCAUAGGCUGUUGAUCCUGGAUUCUAUGAAAAUGUAGGCUGUACAAGCCAUGUGGAACAAACCAGGAAGCAGCACUCCUCUGUGCUCUCUUCAACAGUGCUACCCCCAGGUUCCUGUACUGAAGGUCACAGACAGGCUAAGAGGAGGGUAGGUGAAUGCUGGCACAAAGAUGCUGGAUUCAUUAUAGAAAUGGAGUAGUCUGACAUAGCCUCUCCUAUAUCAAGGUCUCUACUCCCAAUAUCCCCUGAAAACCCAACAAGCCUUUGGUACAGCAAUUCCUUAUCCUGAUGAAGCUCUGCUAUCAAGUGAACUGGAGGAUUGACUGUUUGGCUCUGUCUUUAUUUCUCUGUCUCCCUGCCCCCCUUGCUUUUAAUCUCAUGAAGCCUCUGGAUGUGCAGUACUCACUGGGGCGACGCUGGAUGCUUUUAUCAAUAGUAGCGCCUCCUCCUCCUCCUCCUCUUCCUUUUAACAGUUUCUUUAUCUGAAGAUUUAGGUGGGGCUACGUACAAUACAUUCACCACUAGGGAGAGAGCAGGAAGAGGUUCAGAAUAGGGAAGGAGAUGUGGAACAAAGCUAUGGGACAUUGUUGGGUCUUUCUGUCAAGGAUCAAGUUGACCAUCCUCGGUGAGUGACUGCUGCCAUGUAUGCCAUCUUCCAUGCUAUCAGCAUUGUUCAGGACAAUUUUCUAUUGGCUGUUUUGGUGUUUGUUUGUAACUUCUGGAUGUCCCCUUUGGGUCUCCUUUCACACCACAAUCAAAGCUCUGCUUGCUAACUGUAUUGUGCUUAGCAUUCCUGCUCACACACUGUUCAGCUCCCAUGUUUUCCUCAGCUAGGCAAGAACAACCUUUCACCUCUUUUCCACAAGGAAAUAUGUGAAUCAGA